GUGCUCGUUUUGGCAGCACAUAUACUAAAAUUAGAAUGAUACAGACAAGAUUAUUAUUGCCCCUGUGCAAGGAUGACACACAAAUUCGUGAAGUGUUUCAUAUUUUC
ensembl:snRNA U6 U6 spliceosomal RNA